GCCAGCGAGCGCGCACGCCACCUCUCCUCCCCCGCAAGCAGCCGCAAGCCGCCGAGGCCGACGGCGACGGGAGCCCCCCAAUCCCCAAAUCCGGCGCCGCGCAGCCAGCCUCGGCCCGGCGUAUGGAUCCAGAUGUUCUCGUGGGCCCGUAGCAAGCAGUCCUCACCCGCCUCCUCCUCCGGCCGCCGCGGCGGGGACGCCGCCGCCGCCGCCAUGGACUCCGGCAGCAGCCGCCGCAGCGGCGGCGGGAGCGGGCACGGGAGCGGCCACGGCAGCGGGAGUGGGAGCGGGAGCGGGAGCCGCGGACGCAGCCCGCGGCUGGAGCGGCGCAACGCGGCGAAGCACAUCGACUACGAGGUGGGCGCGGCGGCGACGUCCGUGUCCGCCUCGUGGUCGACCUCGUCGUCGGAGCGCUCGCCGGGGGCCCGGCCGACGCGCUCGCUCGACCUCGCGGCCAGGGGCGGCCGCGCGGACUUCCGCAUCAACGGCAGCGCGGAGGGGGAGGUCGACGAGCUCUGCCGCAGCCUGGGGCUGUCGGGGCCCGAGGACUUCGCCAUCCCCGUCGCCGCCUGGGAGGCCCGCAAGGCGCGCUCCAGCUCCGACCUCCUCGCCCGCCCCCGCCCGGACCCGGACUCGUCGGCUCCUCCCGGGGAGGAGCCCGCCCCCGUCGUCCGCACCGUCUCCGCCCCCGAGGUCCCGUGGCCCGCGCCUCACUCCUUCCCCGACCCCAUUCCCGAGGAGUCCAUCCACUCCUCCUCCGCUUCCACCGCCACUGCCACUGACUCGGUGGACGAACCCAUCAUCGCGCCGCCGGAGGAAUCCCCCAAAGCUACCCGUGCGGUUGCUGUUGCGGCGCCCGUCGCGGCCUUGUCACUUCCCUCGCCGAGAAGGGGCGGCGGGGAGGUCGGGAUCCGGGGCGUCCGGCCGCCAGUGCUCUCCCCGCCUCCGCCGAUCACGGGACUCGCGCCGCCACCGGCGAGGCAGUCGUCUGUGGCUGAGAUCAUGAGCGGGUCGGCCUGGGACAUUGUGAACUCGUUCGCUCCCACGGAGGAGAAUAGUGAACUGAGAAUGGCCUAUGGACAUGCUGAAACAUCUCACAUGUCAGACACAGAGGAGGAUAAUCCUGAGGAGAACGAUGAAGGAUUGACGGGGCUUGAGGGGGAGCUUAAAGGCUGGAGGGUAGGGGAGACCUUUGAAGGGUUCACCGGGACAUCCUCAUUGUCGACAACAAAUGAUGAUGAUGCAUCUAGCACGAAUACAGAGGCCGUGUUCGUCAUCUCGCCGAAUGGCAAGUUCAAGCGGAACAUCAAGUCAUGGAUGCGUGGUGCACUUCUGGGAAGUGGCUCAUUCGGGAUGGUGUACGAAGGGAUCAGUGAUGAAGGUGCGUUCUUUGCUGUUAAGGAAGUAUCGUUGCUUGACCAAGGAAGCAAUGCACAGCAAUCUAUUCUUUCACUUGAACAGGAAAUCGCUCUCCUUAGUCAGUUUGAACAUGAAAACAUAGUCCAGUAUUAUGGAACUGACAAGGAAGAAUCAAAACUCUACAUUUUUAUUGAGCUUGUUACACAAGGUUCUCUUUCAUCCCUCUAUCAAAAGUAUAAACUGCGAGACUCACAAGUCUCUGCGUACACAAGGCAGAUUCUCAAUGGAUUGGUUUAUCUCCAUGAGAGGAAUGUGGUCCACAGAGAUAUCAAAUGCGCCAAUAUAUUGGUUCAUGCAAAUGGAUCGGUAAAACUUGCAGAUUUUGGGUUGGCAAAGGAGAUGUCUAAAAUUAAUAUGCUGAGAUCAUGCAAAGGAAGUGUUUAUUGGAUGGCACCUGAGGUUGUUAAUCCUAGAAAAACAUAUGGGCCUGCAGCUGAUAUGUGGAGCUUGGGCUGCACUGUGUUGGAAAUGCUAACCCGCCAAAUACCAUAUCCCAAUGUCGAGUGGACAAAUGCUUUCUUUAUGAUUGGCAAAGGAGAACAACCACCCAUUCCCAGCCACUUGUCAGCAGAAGCUCAAGAUUUCAUACGCCAAUGUGUACGAGUCGAUCCAGACGAGCGACCUUCCGCAUCACAACUUUUGGCGCACCCAUUUGUUAACCGGCCACUUCGAGCUUCUUUUGAUUCUUUGUCUCCUCCGAUCAAUAGGCCCUACAGCCACGGUCCGUGGCCAUACGAUACGGAUGGCGGACUGGGCGCCCACGGCGCCAGCCCCGUCGCCGUCUCCUCCGUCUCCCGAUUUACGCGCGGGGGCCUCGUAGCGGCCGCGCUUAUUCCGGCGCAGCGCGCGACACGCGGUCACCCCCCGCACCCGCCCGCAUCGCCGCGCGCUCCACCGCCGCUCAAGCAAGCAAGUAGCGGCAGCCAGGCCGAGAGGAUCUCUUCUCGAGGGACGCGCCGCACCAGCACCAGCACCAUCACCAUCACCAUCGCCAUGAGGAGGGGGCCUCAGCAGCAGCAGCAGCAGGGGGAGCCGGCGGCGCCGGGGACGGGGGCGGGGGUGGUGCGCGUGGACAAGGCGUCGCCUUCCGCCAGCUCGACGACGCCUUCUUGCAGAAACAAACAAAAAUCUGGCUUGGCGAAGUUCUCCAUGUCAGGUUUGAUGAAGACAUUUUGGUAGCAGACCUCCUAGGUGACGGGGAAUUGCUAUUUCAAGUUUCCAAAGUGAUAUGGAAGAGGCUACUCAGAAAGAACAAAGAACAACUCAAGCAAUCAAAAGUAUAUAUUUAUGAGAGGCCAUCUUUUGGUAAAACUAACGGGAAAUAUACUCCAUAUCCAAAAGUAGACUCGUUUCUAAAGGUAUGCCAAACCCUUGGAUUAGCUGGAAUUGAUUUGUUUACCCCUUCUGAUGUGGUCGAGAAAAGAAAUGUUCGGAAAGUGUGUAUGUGCAUACGCUCACUGUCUAAAAAGGCUGGCAUGAUGCAGCUGAACGUGCCUGAUUUUGAUGUUGUAACCCACACAAUAGCCAUGCCCAACUAUAUUGUUGGAGGCAUCCGCAGAAGUCUGGAGCAGCCACAAUGCAGUUCAUCUUGUUCGAGUGGGCACAGUCCGCGUGCCAUUUCUAAAAGCAUAUUUGAAGGACAGAAUGAUGAACAAAGCGACCGACAUUAUGACUCUGAUGAAGCAGAGAGCAGUCUCUUUGUGCUAGGGCCUCAGGAUUCUCUUGAUGACGACAAACUUUCCGAGCUUUUGCAGUUGGGCGAUGCCCCCAAGGAAGAAAGAGAAGGCUAUGGAGACAGUGGGCAUGAAAUGCCCGAGGAGAAGUCGCUAGCCGAAUCAGCGGGAUCACUUGAAGCUGGUGUUAUGGAUGCUGAUACUAGGAAUUCGACUCCUUUUCAUGAGAACCUACUCUCACCAACAGAUCGGUGUUCAACAACUAGAACAAAUAAAUGUUCACUAAGUUCAGAAGAAUCAGACUCCAUAAACAGUUAUUUAGCUUCCGACAGUUGCAAGAAUGAUUUGGACGGUCCUCCUGUCAAAGUGUCCGAAAGGAUUCAUGAUGGACACGUCGAACCUUCACAUGAUUCUGUUCAGGGAAAUGGGAAAAUAUUCACUGACCAUCCAGAAAAAGAUGACAGCGCAAGCCAAGAGCUGAAACAUGAAUUCAGCACUAAGGAUCACAUGGACGCUUGCAAAUCUGACGAACCGGGAACAACUGAAAGCAACAGCAAUGCUCAGGGGACCGGGAACAAUGCUCCCAAAUCAGGGAAAGGGGUGCUGAAGUCAGUUGCUGGAGGGAUCACGCUCAUCGGCGCCGUGUUCUUAGUAGCUCAUCUCAGGAGGAGCAAGGGGAUAAGCUUUACAACUAUUUUGCCUUCACUUUCUGAGAAAUCAAUUCAGAGCGACUCGAGGGCGAACAAUGUGGACAACGGAAAGACAACCGAGGUGUAUCCAGGCGGCUGGCUCAAGGUUUGACAGGAGGGACAUGCCGAAUAAACGGGCGCAAUUUGAAAGGUUAUGUCUGAUGUAAAUUCAUAUCUACUGUACUUAUGGAGCGUUAUAUACCAGCGGUAUCCUAAUUUGGUUAUAGAGCUGCGUCAAGUGACCUAAAGUUAAAUGUGAUAUAUAUUACCGUUCUUUCCGUGUAAAGAAUUGUAUAGGUGAUUUAUCACUGUUCAUAAUUCAGAGCAACUUUCUAAUAGCUUCA